rnacentral:rRNA from 1 species
UGACCUCGGAUCCAGG